AUCCCAUGAUGAGGACAGGCGCGAAUGUACUAUUGAAGAUGUUCCCAGGCUUCGAGAAUCGUCUCAUCAGCUUGUUGCUGGAAGCUCAAGAUCUUACCCCGCAGGGC
rnacentral:snoRNA from 1 species